GACGAACGCUGGCGGCGUGCUUAACACAUGCAAGUCGAACGGAAAGGCCUCUUUCGGGGGGUACUCGAGUGGCGAACGGGUGAGUAACACGUGAGUAACCUGCCCUUGACUUUGGGAUAACUUCAGGAAACUGGGGCUAAUACCGGAUAGGAGCUCCUGCUGCAUGGUGGGGGUUGGAAAGUUUCGGCGGUUGGGGAUGGACUCGCGGCUUAUCAGCUUGUUGGUGGGGUAGUGGCUUACCCAGGCUUUGACGGGUAGCCGGCCUGGGAGGGUGACCGGCCACAUUGGGACUGAGAUACGGCCCAGACUCCUACGGGAGGCAGCAGUGGGGAAUAUUGCACAAUGGGUGGAAGCCUGAUGCAGCAACGCCGUGGGCGGGAGGACGGCCUUCGGGUUGUAAACCGCUUUCGCUCAUGACGAAGCUUUGUGUGACGGUAGUGGGUAAAGAAGCACCGGCUAACUACGUG
rnacentral:rRNA from 1 species